ACGAAAGUCUGACGGAGCAACGCCGCGUGAGUGAUGAAGGCUUUCGGGUCGUAAAACUCUGUUGUUAGGGAAGAACAAGUACGAGAGUAACUGCUCGUACCUUGACGGUACCUAACCAGAAAGCCACGGCUAACUACGUGCCAGCAGCCGCGGUAAUACGUAGGUGGCAAGCGUUAUCCGGAAUUAUUGGGCGUAAAGCGCGCGCAGGCGGUUUCUUAAGUCUGAUGUGAAAGCCCACGGCUCAACCGUGGAGGGUCAUUGGAAACUGGGGAACUUGAGUGCAGAAGAGAAAAGCGGAAUUCCACGUGUAGCGGUGAAAUGCGUAAGAUGUGGAGGAACACCAGUGGCGAAGGCGGCUUUUUGGUCUGU
rnacentral:rRNA from 2 species